CAUGGGCACCUGAAGACGUUGUCCCACAGAGCUGUGCUCUGAGACCUUGGCCCUCCAUGUAGGGGAGGCACCUCUCCAUGGCUUGUCCUAGACCCAGGAUGCAGGGGAACCCAAGUCCUCAAAGGCAUCAUCCCAGAGACUCAGGACCCUAUGGAUACACCCAGGCAUCAAGGGUGCCAAUGGCCAGAGCUUUCCCCCUUGGAACCUUCUCCUCUUAUGCUCAGGUGAGAGCAGGCCAAGGAUCAAGAAGAAAGAAGCAUUCCGUUGUGGAGGAUGGAGAGAGGAGGAGUGAUCUAUUUCGUCUCGGUGUGACCUGUAGACCUUCCAGUCCUUGAUGACCUACUUUUCCUGCCCUGUCCUGGAACGGAGACCUCACAGUUCUCCUUAGACUGGCCGUGUUUCAAGAGCUCAGUAGCCACGCGCGCAGUGAGCGGCGAGGGUGUCGGACAGCGCAGUCCUAGAGGGAAACCAGACAGACUACUUACAGCAAGGGCUCAUCAGAAGCUCCCCUGCAGCGCCACGGGAUGGACAUUCACCAGCCCGGCCAGGGAGGCAGUGUCCCCUCUGGUCUGACCAGGUUCCCUGCAGCUCCUGCUGAGGUCUCUGGGCUGUUGAGAAGAGACGGUUUGAGGUAGGAGCUGGAAGACCAUGACGUUGGCAGAGAAUAGAGAAAACACACUGGAUCCAAGUCGAGAUGAGGAGGCAACCUCGUGGCCACCUGUGCCGAUGGCCAGCGGCGUGGUGGCUGUGGGACAGGACAGUGGGAAGGAGGUGGUCAGGAGUCCAGAGGUGCACACCGCACACUUCCUUUGGCUUUAUUGCUUUGUCCAAUGCCCACUUGUCUGGGUUUGUUUAUUUGUUUGUUUUCCUCUUUCAGGGCUGCUGACUUUUGUUUUCCAGCCAGCCAGGUUUUCAACUUUUUGGUCUGAAGUUCCAGAAAGGAAGGUUUUGUUUUCAGGAUUUGAUUAAUUCACAGCUUCAGCCCAGGCUUGGUUUGUUAUGAAGUUGCUGCCCUCGGCUUCAGGACUAUACUUCCUCCCUAAUCUUUCCCCAUCGGGUGUUGCCCCCCACUAGCACACUCCUCCUGUCCCAGUGUGCUGAGCCUCCUGCCUCCCAGGACACCCUCCCCAUAGGCCCCUGGGGGAUGAGAAGGGAGCCUGCGGCCACAGUUCAAAGCCCAAGGGCAAGCUGCGGUUUCCUUCUCUCCUGACCUACGUGGGAGGGGGCCAGUGUCCUUAGAGUUAGGUGUAUGCCUCUCUGCUCACCCUGCAGUGCCCUGUCCUGGGUCCCACACCAGCCCCCAGGGAACUGUGCCCUACGGAAGCAAAUGGGCAAGAGAGUAUAGUCUGUUCUGAUCUUUAGGAUAGAAUCAGAUGAAACAUGUAUACAGUUGACCCUUGGACAACAUGGGCUUGAACUGCACAGAUCCACUUAUGCUCAGAUUUUUUUGAAUACAGUAUAGCACUGUAAAUGUAGUUUCUCUCCCGUAUGUUUUCUUAAUAACAUUUUCUUUUCUCUAGCUUACCUUGUUGUAAGAAUGCGGUAUGUCAUACAUAUAACAUACAAAAUAC